rnacentral:lncRNA from 1 species
UUACCUCUUGAAGUGCUUCGUGAUCAUAAUUGGGGCUAAGUAGGAACUAAAUGCACCUAAGCUUAAUAGUUGCUACUCACCAACUACAUAAUUAUUGUCAGGGUGGCUAAAAAUGCAGAAUGUCUGUCAAAUGUAAAAGAGGCCCACAUAGGGAGCAGUUGGGGGGACAUGGAAAGCACAAUUGGAGGUAAUGAUUAUUCUGACUGUCUUGCUACAGCAAACAUAGUAUUUGGAAAUUCAUGAACAUUCCUUUUAAAUGUGCAGAAGUCUUUGCAAAACAAACCAUAUAUUAACUAAAACACUUGUGACUGCACUGCCUACACACUAAGCCACCCAUAAUUUGGGGUAAAAGUUCUUUCUAUGCAAUAUCACAAGAAACAAUCAUAAAUCUUUUAUUUCAGAAUUGGCUUUGGUGACAAAUAAGCUGGAGAUAAAGAAUACAGAUAGUUCUAUGUCUCUGACAUCCAGUAUUCAAUGCCGUACCACGUAACUUCCCCCCAAAAUUGCUUUUAUUAAGUGCAGUAUGUAUCCAAUAAUAAUUUUCUAAAUGUGGCCUUUUGCUAAAUAGUUCAGAGUACAUGUAAUCUCUCACUAAAAAAUUCAUCAUCCCAGACUGAUUCUCUUAAAAAAAUCCAUUUGGGUUGGUAAGUCCCUCUUUGGGCAGAAACAUCAGCCUUUUUGGUAAAAAGGGAGGUAUCCAUUUUUAAAAAGGACUCAAAUCCAUUCCAGUUCAUAUGCUCCUCUGCUCUUCUAGUGUCUCCAUGAGUCACAGCUCACUUUGGUCCUGGCCACCCCACUGCUUCCAGGAACACAUAAGAUACCCCAGGACUGUAGUAACCGAGGGGUGAAGAUGGACAAAACAGUUUUCUUUUAUUCCUCUGACUCCUGUCUCUCUUCUAGAUCAAGAUACUAUUGUCCCUGGAAAAAUGUCACCAUUCUUUUUCAAGAGGAGGAAAUGAAGUUACAAAAAGUCACUUGUAUCAACAAGGACCUACUGUGUAGCACAGGGGACUCUACUUGAUAUUCUUUAAUAACUUAUAUGGAAAAAGAACAGGUAAAUAUUUAACUAAAUCACUUUGCUGUACAUCUGAAACAACAACAAAAAAAUUGUAUCAAUGAUACUCUAAUAUAAAAAUUUAAAAAAAUAACCUAAAAAAAGUAACUUGCAAGAUCUUCAAGUUGAUGACUUGAUAAGGAUUAGAACCCAGUAAUGUCUAAUUCUAACCAGUAUUAUUUCCAUAAUACAGCACUUCUCCAAAUCUUAAGAGAGUGACAGAAAUAGGAGCCAUUUGGAGGAUAAGGGUAAUUACUACAUAGGCUUAUGUGGGAAGCAUGGGGAAUUUUGCAUAGCAAUUUUCAUGGAGUUGACAUCUUAGGGACAUGGAAGUGUGGCAUGGCUUUAGCCAGAGAAGAUCUUGCAAACUGAGCAGUUGUGACUAUUAUUAUGGGGUCAUGUGAUUUUCCCCUGAAAUCAUUUGCAGAAGUCUUUUGAGUGUUGUGGUUUUCUGGUGUCAAUUUAAAAAUAAAACCUAGAGAUUGCCUACA